rnacentral:rRNA from 1 species
UACGUAGGGUGCAAGCGUUGUCCGGAAUUAUUGGGCGUAAAGGGCUCGUAGGCGGUCCAUCGCGUCGGGAGUGAAAAGCUGGGGCUCAACCCCAGUCCUGCUUUCGAUACGGGUGGACUAGAGGUAGGCAGGGGAGAACGGAAUUCCUGGUGUAGCGGUGAAAUGCGCAGAUAUCAGGAGGAACACCGGUGGCGAAGGCGGUUCUCUGGGCCGAUACUGACGCUGAGGAGCGAAAGCGUGGGGAGCGAACAGG